rnacentral:lncRNA from 1 species
GGCCAUACCAAUUCGAAGUACUGCAUAUCAUCCACCUUCUCCGUGACAAAUGGGAAGUAUAUUGUUAGUGGUUCCGAGGAUAGUUGUGUGUACUUAUGGGAACUUCAGUCCCGGAAAGUAGUUCAGAAAUUGGAAGGUCACACAGAUCCUGUCAUAUCAGUGGCGUCUCACCCCACGGAGAACAUUAUCGCAUCUGGUGCACUUGACAAUGACAGGACCGUGAAGAUUUGGACUCAGGAAAAGGAAUGAAUUGCUUCGCAGUUAAGAAUUCUCUCGAAAUUAUUGC